rnacentral:tRNA from 1 species
UCGAUUUAAGUUUUAAAACAUUAACUUUUGGAGUUAAAAGAAUUAAUUAGAUUUAAUAAAUUGAU